GACGAACGCUGGCGGCGUGCUUAACACAUGCAAGUCGAACGGAAAGGCCCCUUUUGGGGUACUCGAGUGGCGAACGGGGGAGUAACACGUGCGUAACCUGCCCUUGACUUCGGGGUAACUUUCGGAAACUGGGGCUAAUUCCGGAUAGGAAUCCUUGCUGCAUGGGGGGGGUUGGAAAGCGUCGGCGGUUUUGGAUGGACUCGCGGCUUAUCAGCUUGUUGGUGGGGUAGUGGCUUACCAAGGCUUUGACGGGUAGCCGGCCUGAGAGGGCGACCGGCCACAUUGGGACUGAGAUACGGCCCAGACUCCUACGGGAGGCAGCAGUGGGGAAUAUUGCACAAUGGGCGGAAGCCUGAUGCAGCAACGCCGCGUGCGGGAUGACGGCCUUCGGGUUGGAAACCGCGUUCAGCAGGGGCGAAGCUUGUGGUGACGGUACCUGCAGAAGAAGCACCGGCUAACUACGUG
rnacentral:rRNA from 1 species